rnacentral:rRNA from 1 species
UACGUAGGUGGCAAGCGUUGUCCGGAAUUACUGGGCGUAAAGCGCGUGUAGGCGGAUGAGCAAGUCUGCUGUGAAAGCUCCUGGCUUAACCGGGAGUGGUCGGUGGAAACUGCUCGUCUGGAGGACGGUAGAGGUAGGUAGAAUUCCCGGUGUAGUGGUGAAAUGCGUAGAGAUCGGGAGGAAUACCUGUGGCGAAGGCGGCCUACUGGGCCGGACCUGACGCUGAGACGCGAAGGCGUGGGGAGCGAACGGG